UACGGAAGGGGCAAGCGUUGUUCGGAAUCAUUGGGCGUAAAGGGCGCGUAGGUGGUUCUGUAUGUCUAUCGUGAAAGCAUACAGCUCAACUGUAUUUUGUCGGAAGAAACUGCAGGGCUGGAGUCCGGGAGAGGAGGGUGGAAUUCCCAGUGUAGCGGUGAAAUGCGUAGAUAUUGGGAGGAACACCGGUGGCGAAGGCGGCCCUCUGGACCGGUACUGACGCUGAUGCGCGAAAGCGUGGGGAGCAAACGGG
rnacentral:rRNA from 1 species